CUUACCUGCAACCAUGUAUGCCUGUCAACAGAUUUGAAGUCGUCUCGAAUGUAAAGUGAUGCACCAGAAAUAACACCUAUGUCAUAACCAAACAAGAGGCCACCAAUGCCAGCUGAUAAAGCAAGUCGCAUAAUAUAAGGAGUUUUCCAAGUUGUUCUCCAGCAUUCCGUGAAUUCGGUUUUAUCCGGCUUAGAAAUACCACCCUCCAUGUUUUUCCUUUCACCAAAAUAAAUUCAGCAGUGGAAUUCUAUAAAAUACAAUUGAAUUCGAAGAUUAGAAAAUAUGAAGUCAUACAAAGAUAUAGAAUUACUUUCAUUCGAUGUACUAAAUUUUAUACAAUCGUUACAAACAAAAAUUAUAGUUCUUUAUAUGUUUUCUUAGACGACUUAUCUGUCAAACAGAUAAUUAAUAAAUAGGACCCAACAAUAAUCUUCCACCACUGAAGCAAUCAAUCCAAAUUAUGCCUUUCAGUAAAUUUAACAGUUAGUUCAUGAUUAACGAAAUUAAGAAUAAAAAAA